UCUUCUAUUCUAUUCUAUUCUAUUAUCAUUCUUUUUUUCCUGACCAAGUUUCCAUUGUGACUUGGACAUGACAUACUAGACUCACUUUUUGCCUGAAAAUGUAUACUAAUACCCUUAAUAUCAGUAACGGUCAACAUUUGCUGUCUUACAGAUUAAUGAAGCGUUCCGAAGGUGCACUGCUGUUCCACUGUAAUCAACAUUUAUGUCCCAACUGGACAGGUACACUCCAAAACUCCUGGAGCUCUUCAGUGCAAAAGGAGGAGUGACUGACACAGUGUCAGUUGAUGGAACUGACACAGGACCCAAGUGCCUCUGCAGUGAAGAAGAGAGAUGUGACUGUGAGAUGCCUCAUAGAGUACAUGGGAGAGAGUGGACAGGAGUUAAUCUCUGACUACUGGAACUGCAGAGACCACUGUUCAUGAGGACCUGGAAAUGAAGAAUAUGAGCAUCUACAUCUGUCGUGAGCCAAAUGCAGUAGGAAUCAUCAUUGAGGGAGUACCAGUCCUUACUCAUCUUGGAAACCUGGUCAAAGCAUACUGCCUACUUCUGGGGUUGACGUAUGCACUUAAUCUUGAGUAUCCAUCCAAACUUUCCAAAACAUUUGAGGUGUUUCAAACACUUUUUGUGGGACUUGACACACUGCGCCCAAAACUAACCCCCAAAUUCAUGACUCUCAAAAACAAGCUUCUAGCUUAGGCA